rnacentral:rRNA from 1 species
AUACGGAGGGGGCUAGCGUUGUUCGGAAUUACUGGGCGUAAAGGGCACGUAGGCGGACCAGCCAGUCAGGCGUGAAAGCCCCGGGCUUAACCUGGGAACUGCGCUUGAUACUGCUGGUCUAGAGUCCGGGAGAGGGUAGUGGAAUUCCCAGUGUAGAGGUGAAAUUCGUAGAUAUUGGGAAGAACACCGGUGGCGAAGGCGGCUACCUGGACCGGUACUGACGCUAAGGUGCGAAAGCGUGGGGAGCAAACAGGAUUAGAAACCCGGGUAGUCC